AUUGGUGCCUUCGGGAACUCUGAGACAGGUGCUGCAUGGCUGUCGUCAGCUCGUGUUGUGAAAUGUUGGGUUAAGUCCCGCAACGAGCGCAACCCUUAUCCUUUGUUGCCAGCGGUUCGGCCGGGAACUCAAAGGAGACUGCCAGUGAUAAACUGGAGGAAGGUGGGGAUGACGUCAAGUCAUCAUGGCCCUUACGAGUAGGGCUACACACGUGCUACAAUGGCGCAUACAAAGAGAAGCGACCUCGCGAGAGCAAGCGGACCUCAUAAAGUGCGUCGUAGUCCGGAUUGGAGUCUGCAACUCGACUCCAUGAAGUCGGAAUCGCUAGUAAUCGUAGAUCAGAAUGCUACGGUGAAUACGUUCC
rnacentral:rRNA from 1 species